AGUGAACGCUGGCGGUAGGCCUAACACAUGCAAGUCGAACGGCAGCACAGUAAGAGCUUGCUCUUACGGGUGGCGAGUGGCGGACGGGUGAGGAAUACAUCGGAAUCUACUUUUUCGUGGGGGAUAACGUAGGGAAACUUACGCUAAUACCGCAUACGACCUACGGGUGAAAGCAGGGGAUCUUCGGACCUUGCGCGAUUGAAUGAGCCGCUGUCGGAUUAGCUAGUUGGCGGGGUAAAGGCCCACCAAGGCGACGAGCCGUAGCUGGUCUGAGAGGAUGAUCAGCCACACUGGAACUGAGACACGGUCCAGACUCCUACGGGAGGCAGCAGUGGGGAAUAUUGGACAAUGGGCGCAAGCCUGAUCCAGCCAUACCGCGUGGGUGAAGAAGGCCUUCGGGUUGUAAAGCCCUUUUGUUGGGAAAGAAAAGCAGCAGGUUAAUACCCCGCUGUUCUGACGGUACCCAAAGAAUAAGCACCGGCUAACUUCGUG
rnacentral:rRNA from 1 species